rnacentral:tRNA from 5 species
AGAAAGUUAGUCUAACCAAGACA